UAAGGAAUAUUGCUCAAUGGGAGAAAUCCUGAAGCAGCAACGCCGCGUGGAGGAUGAAGGGUCUAUGACUUGUAAACUCCUGUAAAGAAGGAAAAAAUUCCCAUUAGGUGGGAGAUGAUGGUACUUCUGGAGUAAGCCCCGGCUAACUACGUGCCAGCAGCCGCGGUAAUACGUAGGGGGCAAGCGUUGUCCGGAUUUACUGGGUGUAAAGGGUGCUCAGGCGGAUUUGUAAGUCAGAGGUGAAAUCUUACAGCUUAACUGUGAAACUGCCUUUGAUACUGCAAGCCUAGAGUAUGGAAGAGAGUGAUGGAAUAUCUGGUGUAGCAGUGAAAUGCGUAGAUAUCAGAUAGAACACCAAUGGCGAAGGCAGUCACUUGGUCCAUUACUGACGCUAAAGCACGAAAGCGUGGGUAGCAAACA
rnacentral:rRNA from 1 species